rnacentral:rRNA from 1 species
GGAAUCUUGGACAAUGGGCGCAAGCCUGAUCCAGCCAUGCCGCGUGAGUGAAGAAGGCCUUCGGGUUGUAAAGCUCUUUUACCAGGGACGAUAAUGACGGUACCUGGAGAAUAAGCCCCGGCCAACUUCGUGCCAUCAGCCGCGGUAAUACGAAGGGGGAUAGCGUUGUUCGGAAUUACUGGGCGUAAAGCGCACGUAGGCGGGUCGUUAAGUCAGGGGUGAAAUCCCAGAGCUCAAAUCUGGAACUGCCUUUGAGACUGGCGACCUAGAGUCCGGAAGAGGUUAGUGGAAUUCCCAGUGUAGAGGUGAAAUUCGUAGAUAUUGGGAAGAACAACAGUGGCGAAGGCGGCUAACUGGUCCGGUACUGACGCUGAGGUGCGAAAGCGUGGGGAGCAAA